rnacentral:tRNA from 1 species
GCCUGGGUGGCUCAGUGGUUGAGCAUCUGACUCUGACUCAGGGCCUGAUCCCAGCUUCCUGGGAUCAAGUUCCACAUCAGGCU